UAACACAUGCAAGUCGAGCGAGAAGCCUUUUCAAGACUCUUCUGGAUGAUUUUAAAGGUGGAAAGCGGCGGACGGGUGAGUAACGCGUGGGCAACCUGCCUUAUACAGGUGGGAUAACACCGGGAAACCGAUGCUAAUACCGCAUAACACAUAGAUAUCGCAUGGUAUUUAUGUCAAAGGAGAAAUCCGGUAUAAGAUGGGCCCGCGUCCAAUUAGCUAGUUGGUGGGGUAGAGGCCUACCAAGGCGACGAUUGGUAGCCGAACUGAGAGGUUGAUCGGCCACAUUGGGACUGAGACACGGCCCAGACUCCUACGGGAGGCAGCAGUGGGGAAUAUUGCGCAAUGGGGGGAACCCUGACGCAGCAACGCCGCGUGAAGGAUGAAGGUCUUCGGAUCGUAAACUUCUUUGAUUGGGGAAGAAGCAGUGACGGUACCCAAAGAACAAGCCACGGCUAACUACGUGCCAGCAGCCGCGGUAAUACGUAGGUGGCAAGCGUUGUCCGGAAUUACUGGGUGUAAAGGGCGUGUAGGCGGGGAUGCAAGUCAGAUGUGAAAAUCCGUGGCUCAACUGCGGAACUGCAUCUGAAACUGUAUCUCUUGAGUGCUGGAGAGGGAAGUGGAAUUCCUAGUGUAGCGGUGAAAUGCGUAGAGAUUAGGAAGAACACCAGUGGCGAAGGCGGCUUCCUGGACAGUAACUGACGCUGAGGCGCGAAAGCGUGGGGAGCGAACAGGAUUAGAUACCCUGGUAGUCCACGCCGUAAACGAUGGAUACUAGGUGUAGGAGGUAUCGAACCCUUCUGUGCCGGAGUUAACACAAUAAGUAUCCCACCUGGGGAGUACGGCCGCAAGGUUGAACUCAAAGGAAUUGACGGGGGCC
rnacentral:rRNA from 1 species